rnacentral:rRNA from 1 species
ACGUCGCGCGAUGAGUNAUGAACGUGCGUUUCGGGUCGUNAAAACUCUGUUGUUAGGGAAGAACAAGUGCUAGUUGAAUAAGCUGGCACCUUGACGGUACCUAAACCAGAAAAGCCCACGGNUAACUACGUUGCCAUGCAAGCCCGCGGUGGUAAAUUAACGUAGGGUAUGCCAAUGCGUUUAGUCCGGGAACUUACAUUGGGGCGGUAAAGCGGCGCGCAAGG